GAGGAGCUGUGACGAUUUGGGA
rnacentral:miRNA from 2 species